GACGAACGCUGGCGGCGUGCUUAACACAUGCAAGUCGAACGGAAAGGCCCUGCUUUUGUGGGGUGCUCGAGUGGCGAACGGGUGAGUAACACGUGAGUAACCUGCCCUUUACUUUGGGAUAACUUCAGGAAACUGGGGCUAAUACCGGAUAGGAGCUCCUGCUGCAUGGUGGGGGUUGGAAAGUUUCGGCGGUUGGGGAUGGACUCGCGGCUUAUCAGCUUGUUGGUGGGGUAGUGGCUUACCAAGGCUUUGACGGGUAGCCGGCCUGAGAGGGUGACCGGCCACAUUGGGACUGAGAUACGGCCCAGACUCCUACGGGAGGCAGCAGUGGGGAAUAUUGCACAAUGGGCGGAAGCCUGAUGAAGAAACGCCGCGUGCGGGAUGACGGCCUUCGGGUUGUAAACCGCUUUCGCCUGAGACGAAGCGUGAGUGACGGUAAUGGGUAAAGAAGCACCGGCUAACUACGUG
rnacentral:rRNA from 1 species